UGUGGUUAGUUGCCAGCAAGUAGCGUUGGGCACUCUAGCCAGACUGCCGGUGAUAAAUCGGAGGAAGGUGGGACGACGCCAAAUCAUCAUGCCCUUUAUGUCCUGGGCUACACACGUACUACAAUGGCCGUUACAACGGGAAGCGAAGGAGCAAUCCGGAGCAAAUCCCUUAAAGGCGGUCCCAGUUCAGAUUGUGGGCUGAAACUCGCCCACAUGAAGGCGGAAUUGCUAGUAAUCGCGGAUCAGCAUGCCGCGGUGAAUACGUUCCCGGGCCUU
rnacentral:rRNA from 1 species